AGUAUUAGCCAAACUGCCCUGAAAGUGACUAAUCUCAUAAUCUUAGAAGCUAAGCAGGGUAGGACCUUCUUAGUUACUCAAUGGGAAAGAUUUGAUACCA
rnacentral:rRNA from 1 species